rnacentral:rRNA from 1 species
AGGUGGUGCAUGGUUGUCGUCAGCUCGUGCCGUGAGGUGUUGGGUUAAGUCCCGCAACGAGCGCAACCCCUAUCUCCAGUUGCCAGCGGUUAGGCCGGGCACUCUGGAGAGACUGCCUACGCAAGUAGAGAGGAAGGUGGGAUGACGUCAAGUCAUCAUGGCCCUUACGUCUGGGGCUACACACGUGAUACAAUGGCCGGUCCAGUGGGCAAAGCCGCGAGGCUGAGGAAAUCCCCAACGCCGGUCUCAGUUCGGAUUGGAGUCUGCAACUCGACUCCAUGAAGGUGGAAUCGCUAGUAAUCGCGUAUCAGCACGCCGCGGUGAAUACGUUCCCGGGUCUUGUACACACCG